GGAGCACCACCUCUCUGAGAGUCCAGAGAGGAUAUAAGAGAAUGCCAGCUGAGUCUUGCAUAGACUGGGGGGCUUCCACACACGGAGUUCUUGGAGGAGCCUCCACCAUGGCCUGGACGCUGCUCCUCUUCCAGCUCCUUACUCUCUGCAUAGGUUCGAUGGCUGCCUAUGUGGUCACUCAGCCACCCUCAGUGUCCAUGUCUCUGGGAGAACGAGUCAGCCUGUCCUGUGAUGGGGAUGGUAUUGGUAGCAGCUAUGUAUCCUGGUACCAGCAGAAGCCUGGCCAAGCCAUUAAACUACUUAUUUAUGAGGAUAGCUACCGGCCCGAAGGGAUCCCUGAGCGAUUCUCUGGCUCCAACUCAGGGAACACAGCCACGCUAAGCAUCUCUGGGCUCCAGGCUGAGGAUGAGGCCGAUUAUUACUGCUUUGCGUCGGGUAGCAGUGGUGUACACAGUGACACAGACUGA